ensembl:lncRNA
CACACACACACACACACACACUCGAGCGCUUGCUCUAAAUGCAGUAGUGCUGAUCGUGGCCUUUAAACUCGGAGCUGAUCUGUGAGGCCGAUACACACAAGUGCAAUUCCUACACACACACACACAGACACACAGCCAGCAGCCUAAGAGCUGAUACACACUAGUGCCAAACCUUAUAUGACUAACACGCACACACACACACUCUGUCCUUUUUGAAACUCUUGUAUGUGCUUUUUAAAUCCUUUUUAUUUAUUGUUUUUUUGGGUUGUUGUUGUUGUUGUUUUUUUCAGAAGUCCAGAGAGACCAUGUUUAAAACGAUUUCUGUUCCUUUACACUUCUGAGCUCUGUUCUGAAAACUGACCCUUAAAGGUGCGGUUCACCCAAAAACUAAAAUUCUGUCAUCUGUUACUCCGCCUCGUAUCGUUCCAAAACCCUCAGACCUCCCUCGGUGUUCGGAACGCGAACGGAGACGUUUUUAACGAAAGCCGGGAGAUUUCCAUCCCUCCUAGAACCUUUAUUUUCCUAAGUUAAGACCCCUUAGUUAUCCAGUGAACCCUUAAAAAUCACUGGAGAACCCUUUGUUCUAAGAGAGUAGGUAUUCACUGGGUAUGUGUGCGAUACAAAACCAAAUUAUUGCUCAUUAUUUUUUCUUCUUUUAAUAUCUAGAACCUUAACAAAGAAGUUCUUGGUACUUGGUACACUCUUAGAACAAGGGUUCUUCAGUGGUUGGAUACGUAAGCUUGGAAGAACCUUCUCUGAUUAGAAAAUAUAACAUAAAAAUAUAUAUAAAAAACCCAUAAGCUUCUCUAUUUCUAUAUUGAAAGGUUCUUCGAGGGUUCCUGGCCUUCAAAAACGUUUCUGCUGGUAGUCACUGUGCUGUUGGGUUCUAUGGAGGUUCCAAGUAGAGCCCUUUAGAUUGGUAAGAAACCGUUUCUGAGGUCUUUCUAAUAAGUACUACGAGUUCUUAAAAGGGUCCUACUUGGAACUUUCUCUGAUAGCGAAUCGGUUCUCGGGUUCCGUGUUGUUUAUUGGCUCAUUGGAUGAUGAGGAGGUCUUGACUUCUUGUAAGGGUUCUACUUUCUGAUCAGUUCUCAGUUGUAGGAUGGAUUUAACGUUCUUUUAGGUUUCUUAGCUCUCUACAACGGUUCUGCUCGGAACCUUCUCCUAUAAGGACGUUAAGGGACUCUCCUGUUGGCUAACCGAGGGUUGUACUUGAAACCCUUUCUGAUAAACCCUAAGUUGUAGGGCGCUUUGUGAGACAUGAUGGUUGUUAAGGGCUCUCUAUGGAGCCUUCAGGGUUCUGUGUUAUUUAAGGGCUCAUUUGAUAAGCGAGUUCUAAAUAACUGUUCUGCUUUCUGAGAAACUCUCGUUUGUAGGGUUCUGCAGUAUUUAAGGUUUCUUGUUGUGUGUUAAUUCUCUUGGCUUUCUAAAGGGGUUCAACCCAGAACUUUUCCUAAUUGGGAAACUGGUAUAGAGGUCUAUAUUAUUUACAAAGAACCCUUUUCCGAUAGACAAACACUCUGUUAUCGGGUUCUGAAUGUUUUGAAUAAACAAAACAAACCAGCGUAGCUAUAGACCUCGUCUUGCGAGCCAGACUUCCCGGCCAUGUUUAAUAAAUAAACGUGUCUAAGCCCUGCCCACUUUCAGAGAAGGAAGCCGUUUGAUUGACACGGCAGGCGACCAAGCGCAGCCUUUUCCUCAACCCUGUGAGAUUUUGUUUGUUGUUUGUUUGUUGUUUGUUUAUUCACCGCUAACUGCCUUUAAAAACUGUUCUCCAUGAACUUUUUUUUGGUUCUUCCUCCGAAGUGUCGGAAAGCUGUGCACAGAGAACCAAUCAGAACGUAAAUCUUGACCAUCCUGAAUCUUGUGGCCAGAAAAGGGUACGAAAGAGAAAUCAGAUGCUCGCUGUAUCCUGUGGGCGGAGCCUCAGACGCUGACACUUUAACGUGGGUAGUUUAGUUAAGGGCUUUUCAGCUAAUGUUUUAUGGAUAUCAAGCUAGCUUUGACGAUUUACUUUGAGUCAGCGUUCCAGUUCCACUUCCCGAUCUUCUUCAUGAUUAAACCAUGGUGCUGAUCUGAGAUGCGAUGGCGUUGAGGACGAUGAUGAUGGAUGACGUAAUCACCUGGUCCAUAUCAGCCAAUGGUGGACGGACUUGAGAAAACACGAAUAAUAAUAAUAAUAAUAAUGUGUGGUCUCUCUGGACUUUCAUAUCACGGAGUUUUUGUUAACGUGUGAGAAGCAUGGUGAUGCGAAAGUUUUCGCUCCCUUCCAUCAUGAACGUUCUAGCAGGAAGAACGCAGUGAGCUGCUGCUCGCUGGAGCUCCAGAGCUGGAUCGAUGUUUUAUAUGAAAUCGUUUGACCAAAUAAUUUUCUUAAACUACCGCCUCGUGACGUCGUGGAGUCACGUAACGCGUCAGACAGUUCACGCGGAGCCGCUUUAACGCAUCAUCACCAUCACCUCGCGUACGGUCGGAAACAAGAAGGCGAUUCUUUUGAUCCAGAGCGUCGGUGUUUAAAGAAGUACGGUGUAUCGAGUACUAACUUGCUUUUAAUUUCCUUUUGAAAUUCAAACUCAUUAUUGUACAGGUUUGGGUUUGUUUUUUGGGGUUUUUUUUACAUGCUGUCAGUGUUGUAUAUAAACUGUGAAAUGAUUUCUCUAGAUUAGAAAUGUAAAUAUAAAUUAAUUACAUUCCCAAUACGCACGUGUCUGUCGUUUUUCUUUGACUUAUUUUUUUCUUUCGUGUACAUAUUUACGGACGCAGAGGUGGAGAAAAUAAACUAAAGUGCUCACGCA